ACAGCCCAUAUUUCAGCCACACUUCAAAUCAGCCCAUCAGAUACAGCCCAAUUAAUUUUAGCCCAAGACUAUCUUAAUACAUCAGCAAGGUAUUCUUGUCUUCUUUCCCCCAAAACGUUGCUCUUCACCCGUUUGCCUCUCUACGAUGUCAAAGCCAUUUUUGGCUCCAUCUCCAUAAUUAGACAAGUCUUUAAACUUCAUCCUUCACAAUCAAAAGGUGCAUGGCCAUUUCGAGCUGAACUCUGAAUCAAAUUGAUAAGGAAUCCCAGAAGUUUUGGCCAAAUCUUUAAAGAUCACAGAUGAGGACAAAUGGAAUUAAAAAGGGUGAAGCUUUUCUUCGUCCUUGCUUCUGAUACUUCUGCCAUCACCAACGUUCGAAAUUUGAACGGCUCUUGUUUUUGCCUCGCAAAUCCCGCCCAAAUUCACCGUUGGGAGAACCCUAAUUUUCUUCUAUAAAUACUCUUUUUUACCUUCUGUUAAAAAAAGAGGUUCAGCCGCCUACACUAGUGACUAGACACACGAACCAGUCACCUUUUGAACACUACUACUUUGCCACUCUCAUCACUGUUAUAGUCUCUUAAACACUCAAAAAAUCUCUUACAGAACUUUUCUUCCGAUCGAGGUUCGAAUCUUUUCAUAACGAGAGAGCAGAUUCGAGGCCAACAUCAUCCCGGUUCACUGCACCCAACAAGGUUUAGGAGAGGACGUCGAGAUGAGGCCUCCAUCAGCUGACGAUGAUAUACACGCCGAUUCCCCUACUUCGAAAUAGGGCAAAGAGAAGAAGACCGAGGGCUGACUUGCGCAGAACCCUAAGAAAUCUAGCACCCGAGAACUUUCAUCGGACUUACUCAAUCGUUUGAGGGGUGAUUGACCUUUCUGGUCUCCUUUGUUUACAACUUCUCUGAUAAACGAGGCCCGGGCGUUGAAAGGUAACCUCGGCGAAUGGGCCCAAUGAGUAGCCGAUUCUUUCCAUAAUUUUUUCGACGGUCUAGAUUCCACUGCUUCUGAGGAUGUUACUAGUUUGGGAGACCUACCGGUACCACGGAAGAUACCGUCCCCGCGAGCUGGUGGGUCCUCUUCGAGCCUGAAAUUAGUGAACCAGUUCCCUGCUCCGAGGGUUGUUCCUACUCGGAGGCGAGCAAUUUAUAUGUCCAUCCCGGAGGACGCCCGGGUUCUUUCCGCCUCGGUAGGAAUUGCUAGUUAUCUUCGGUGCUUGGUGACUGAAGAGGAUCAAAUCAAAAUAAACGAGGUAGAGGUGCCCUGGCUUUUCAACGAAGCUCAACAGACGCUGAAUUAGGCCUCGCUGCUUCAUCAUGAGGCCUUUCUCCGAUACCGAGAGGAGUCCAAGCGUCACGAGGCCGAGACUCGGGAUCUUGCCGAGAAGAAGGAUACUUACAAGCUUCUUAGUGAAAAGCUUCAGGCCGAGUUAGAAGCGGUUUGGAAGGAGCAUACCGGUUUGCUCGAGCAGGCUCAAAAGAGACUCGACCAGGUCGGGCAGCUUCAGGCAGAGGUGGACGCGGUAAAGGCUAAGGCCAAACAAUGGAAGAAAAAUAUGGACCGUCUGGCCUCGGAAAAAAAACUUCCCGGUCACAAUUGGCUUCUACUGAGGUUCAGCUUCGGACUGCAAAGGAGAAGAACUCAGCGCAGGCCAAAACGAUCGAUGAACUCCAAUCUCAAUUGAGUUUAGCUAUUUGUGGCCUAGUUAUAACGGAAAAGGGUACAACUGGGUGGUCUCAUUCACAUCCAGAUCAUGAAUGUUUGGAAUCCAUAUUAUGCAAGGAGACAUUGCUUUUGCUAAUUCGAAAGCUUCUUUUUAUGCUAUUUGGAGCGAAAUUCACUAGAACUAGAAGGAGUGAAUAGCUCCUUGUUCUAGUAGUUCAAGAGUGAAAGGGCGUAGUGAAAGAAGGGCCCAUCUAUCUUGCUUUUUCUUUUAUUUUAAAUAUAAAAGAAGUGAUGUCUGGGAGAGGCAGCUCUGAUCGUAAACGCUCUUCUUCCAAUAGGAGUUAUUAGAAUCUGGCCAAGGAGCUCGAGGCUAUACAUGAGCAUGCAAAAAGUAUGGUGUAGCAUGCGUGGUGGGAAUCUCGAAGGAAGACCCUCGAGGGAGUCCAUGCCCAGAAUUUUGACAUAUUGAACGAAAUUGAGAAUGCCAAGACAUGCGAAGCCAAUGCUCGAAGGCUAGCUUUUUCCGAGGAGGAUUCCGAUGCGUCUGAAGAGUCGGGCGAGUCUGGUGGCGAGGGAGACUUCGAAAGCGAUGACGCAUCCCUCGGUGAAGAUUAGGCCGUUCAAAUUUUGUAAUGUUUCUUUUGUUGAGGCAAUUUGGCCUUUGUAUAUGACAUGUAACAGAGCUAUUCAUCCUUUGUAAAAAACUUAUAUAUAUAUAUAUAGCCUCUUUCUUA